rnacentral:rRNA from 1 species
GACGAACGCUGGCGGCGUGCUUUACACAUGCAAGUCGAACGAAGUGGCGAACGGGUGAGUAACGCGUAAUCAACCUGCCCUUCAGAGGGGGACAACAGUUGGAAACGACUGCUAAUACCGCAUACUGAAGGCGGGGAUUGCGUCUGCUGAGCUCGUUGGAGGGGUAACGGCCCACCAAGGCGAUGAUCAGUAGCCGGUCUGAGAGGAUGAACGGCCACAUUGGGACUGGGACACGGCCCAGACUCCUACGGGAGGCAGCAUGGGGGAAGCUUCCGCAAUGGACGAAAGUCUGACGGAGCAACGCCGCGUGAGUGAUGACGGCCUUCGGGUUGUAAAGAUCUGUUAAUCGGGACACGGUACCGGAAUAGAAAGCCACGGCUAACGACGUGCCAGCCGCCGCGGUAAUUC